rnacentral:rRNA from 1 species
GUGGGGAAUAUUGGGCAAUGGGGGAAACCCUGACCCAUCAACGCCGCGUGAGGGAAGAAGGUUUUCGGAUUGUAAACCUCUGUCCUUGGUGACGAAGGAAGUGACGGUAACCAAGGAGGAAGCCCCGGCUAACUACGUGCCAGCAGCCGCGGUAAUACGUAGGGGGCAAGCGUUGUCCGGAAUGACUGGGCGUAAAGGGCGUGUAGGCGGCCGAUUAAGUCUGGAGUGAAAGUCCUGCUUUCAAGGUGGGAAUUGCUUUGGAGACUGGUUGGCUUGAGUGCGGAAGAGGUAAGUGGAAUUCCCAGUGUAGCGGUGAAAUGCGUAGAGAUUGGGAGGAACACCAGUGGCGAAGGCGACUUACUGGGCCGUAACUGACGCUGAGGCGCGAAAGCGUGGGGAGCGAACAGGAUUAGAAACCCGGGUAGUCC